rnacentral:snRNA from 1 species
GUGCUUGCUUUGGCAGAACAUAUACUAAAAUUGGAACGAUACAGAGAGGAUAUGACCCCUGUGCAAGGAUGACAUGCAAAUUUGUGAAGCAUUCCAUAUUUUU